rnacentral:miRNA from 1 species
GUCAAAGUUCCAGAUAUGAUGUCAUUUGAUGAAUUUUUGGUACGAAAAACAAAGGAAAACUAAUUUGCAAUUCACCAAAUGACAUCAUAUCCGGAACCUUUGAC